CCGCUCCCCCCCCCCGCCCCCCCCCCGGGCCCCAUCGGCACCGAACGGGCCCAGAGAGCGAAGCCCCCCCCCGAGGAGGGGGGGCGGGGCCUCGGCGCGGGGGGGGGCGGGGCCUGGGGGGGGGCGGAGCCUUGGGAGCCCCCCCCCGACAGCGACCCCCGAGCCCAGCGCGAGAAGGAGCCGCCCCCAAGUGAUGGGUUGGACUCCGCCCCCCCCCGCCCUUGGGAGCUGCUGCCGGGGGGAGGGGCGGGGCCUCCACCCCCCAACGGCCCCGAGGCUCCGCCCCCCGAGCCCAAAGGCCCCGCCCCCAACGGGGACCCCUCCCCCCCCGGGCACCGCCUGUACCCGGAGCUCUU